rnacentral:rRNA from 1 species
GAAUGCUGACAUAAGUAACGAUAAAGCGGGUGAAAAGCCCGCUCGCCGGAAGACCAAGGGUUCCUGUCCAACGUUAAUCGGGGCAGGGUGAGUCGACCCCUAAGGCGAGGCCGAAAGGCGUAGUCGAUGGGAAACGGGUUAAUAUUCCCGUACUUGGUGUUACUGCGAAGGGGGGACGGAGAAGGCUAUGUUGGCCGGGCGACGGUUGUCCCGGUUUAAGCGUGUAGGUGUGUGUUCCAGGUAAAUCCGGUUCACUUUAACACUGAGGCGUGACGACGAGGCACUACGGUGCUGAAGCAACAAAUGCCCUGCUUCCAGGAAAAGCCUCUAAGCAUCAGGUAACAUCAAAUCGUACCCCAAACCGACACAGGUGGUCAGGUAGAGAAUACCAAGGCGCUUGAGAGAACUCGGGUGAAGGAACUAGGCAAAAUGGUGCCGUAACUUCGGGAGAAGGCACGCUGACACGUAGGUGAAGUGAUUUACUCAUGGAGCUGAAGUCAGUCGAAGAUACCAGCUGGCUGCAACUGUUUAUUAAAAACACAGCACUGUGCAAACACGAAAGUGGACGUAUACGGUGUGACGCCUGCCCGGUGCCGGAAGGUUAAUUGAUGGGGUCAGCGCAAGCGAAGCUCCUGAUCGAAGCCCCGGUAAACGGCGGCCGUAACUAUAACGGUCCUAAGGUAGCGAAAUUCCUUGUCGGGUAAGUUCCGACCUGCACGAAUGGCGUAAUGAUGGCCAGGCUGUCUCCACCCGAGACUCAGUGAAAUUGAACUCGCUGUGAAGAUGCAGUGUACCCGCGGCAAGACGGAAAGACCCCGUGAACCUUUACUAUAGCUUGACACUGAACAUUGAGCCUUGAUGUGUAGGAUAGGUGGGAGGCUUUGAAGCGUGGACGCCAGUCUGC